CCUACGGGAGGCAGCAGUGGGGAAUAUUGGGCAAUGGGCGCAAGCCUGACCCAGCAACGCCGCGUGAAGGAAGAAGGCUUUCGGGUUGUAAACUUCUUUUCUCAGGGAAGAAGCAAGUGACGGUACCUGAGGAAUAAGCCACGGCUAACUACGUGCCAGCAGCCGCGGUAAUACGUAGGUGGCAAGCGUUAUCCGGAUUUACUGGGUGUAAAGGGAGAGUAGGCGGGCAAGCAAGUCAGAAGUGAAAACCAUGGGCGCAACCUGUGGCCUGCAUUUGAAACUGUUUUUCUUGAGUACAGGAGAGGCAGACGGAAUUCCUAGUGUAGCGGUGAAAUGCGUAGAUAUUAGGAGGAACACCAGUGGCGAAGGCGGUCUGCUGGACAGCAACUGACGCUGAGGCGCGAAAGCGUGGGGAGCAAACAGGAUUAGAUACCCCGGUAGUC
rnacentral:rRNA from 1 species